rnacentral:lncRNA from 1 species
CCUCCUGUGAGGCCCUGCCAGGCAGUGGAGGGGACCCAGUAGGCAAGAACAAUUUCCAAGGGGAGUGUGGGUGGUUCCAGGUUUCACUUGGGCUCCACACAGGUAAAUCAGUGUUGGUCAAAUGAAUUUGGAGAAGCAAGGAGAAGUAACUGCCGGUGGCCCCAGGGUUUUGAACUAUUAGCCAGAGACAGAGUCUGCUAGACCCUACUCCAGUGAGGCAUGCUCUGAAGAUAGGCACAAGGCAUAUGCAUGCCUAUCUAGGAUUGCUCAAAAAUGAUGACUCAGCAAACAAAGACAGCAGUGUGAGUAAAUUGCUUGCUGUUCCACACACUGAAGUAGAAGGCAGAGGCUGAGUUGGGGAGUCUGAGAGCUGCCCAGUGACUUCAAUAGUGGCCAUCGCAGGAAUAGAAGACCAGAGUUUUCCCGGAGUGCAAAGUCCAACCCAGAAAGCAGCAGGAGCAAGGGGUUAGUUCCAGGAGCCCUCCCUGGGAUUUGGCUGACUGAGGGAGUCCAUACCAGAAGGAAGCUUUGUUUGUGUCAGCAUCUGUCUCAACAGGUCAAGCAAAGGAACACUCGUGGGUAAUUCGCAAAGUGUCUGUACUCCGAGGCCCACUGACUUCAGCCCUUCAGGAAAAAUGGAGAAGCUCCACAUUUUCCGAGGCACAGUCCACACAGCCAUUCUUUUCUCUGCUGUAGAGACCCUCUCCUCUGCAGCUUGUAUAGUGGCUGAGAGAAGAGCUUAGGCAUGAGGUGGUCUGGGUUCAAAUCAGGCAGGACAGUCCCUAGCUGCAAGGUGAUGUGACCCUUCCUGCAUUGCAGCUUCCUCCUCUGUGUAAUGCCUAGAUCACACCGGCCUCCCUAGGUGGUUGCAAAGACUAAGGUAGGCAUAGUAUUUAGGAAAGUGUCU